rnacentral:misc_RNA from 1 species
GAUUGAAGAACGCAGCGAAAUGCGAUAAGUAGUGUGAAUUGCAGAAUUCAGUGAAUCAUCGAAUCUUUGAACGCACAUUGCGCCCCUUGGUAUUCCAUGGGGCAUGCCUGUUCGAGCGUCAUUUGUACCUUCAAGCUCUGCUUGGUGUUGGGUGUUUGUCUCGCCUCUGCGUGUAGACUCGCCUUAAAACAAUUGGCAGCCGGCGUAUUGAUUUCGGAGCGCAGUACAUCUCGCGCUUUGCACUCAUAACGACGACGUCCAAAAGUACAUUUUUACACUCUUGACCUCGGAUCAGGUAGGGAUACCCGCUGAACUUAAGCAUAUCAAUAAGCGGAGGA